UUGGAAGUUAAAAAAGUGUAACAAGGUUUCCGUAGGUGAACCUGCGGAAGGAUCAUUA
rnacentral:rRNA from 1 species